rnacentral:rRNA from 1 species
GAUGAACGCUGGCGGCGUGCUUAACACAUGCAAGUCGAACGAUGAAGCCCAGCUUGCUGGGUGGAUUAGUGGCGAACGGGUGAGUAACACGUGAGUAACCUGCCCUUAACUCUGGGAUAAGCCUUGGAAACUGGGUCUAAUACCGGAUAGGAGCGUCCACCGCAUGUUGGGGGCUGGAAAAAUUUAUCGGUUUUGGAUGGACUCGCGGCCUAUCAGCUUGUUGGUGAGGUAAUGGCUCACCAAGGCGACGACGGGUAGCCGGCCUGAGAGGGUGACCGGCCACACUGGGACUGAGACACGGCCCAGACUCCUACGGGAGGCAGCAGUGGGGAAUAUUGCACAAUGGGCGCAAGCCUGAUGCAGCGACGCCGCGUGAGGGAUGACGGCCUUCGGGUUGUAAACCGCUUUCAGUAGGGAAGAAGCGAAAGUGACGGUACCUGCAGAAGAAGCACCGGCUAACUACGUG